rnacentral:lncRNA from 1 species
UUUUUUGUUUUUUUGGUUUUUUUUUGCUUUAUUGAGGUAUAACUGAUACACAAAAUCUUGUACACAUUUAAGGUAUACAUUCUGGUGAGCCCAGAGUUAGUUUGGAAAGGUUGUUUUAUCUCAUUUUUUUUUAAACAGUGGAACUUAGAAUACUUACUUAGGGUUUCUUUAGGAAAAAUGAAUGGUAUGGCUGGAAGCAGUUGUUUCCACCUCAACUUUUAUAUAGACUGCAGGAGACUGGACUUGAGGGUUUGUAAUAAAGUUCUGCCUCACUUUGGUGAGGUGGCUUCUGUCAUUCAGGUCACACCGUGCACUGCACAAUCAAGACACAGGAGCCUACACAGUUCUGGAAUAACAUGCAGGCAUGAAAAGGUGCAGCCCUGAGGCUUAUAUUCUACAAAUGAACAUGAAGGAUGAGUAGGUGUGUCAGUGGUGUGCACAUACCUGUGUAUCCAUAAGCGUGUCCACUCUCAACACCACUAGGAUCCUUAUAUCACUUCCCAAAGACCCCUGCUGCUGGAUAACACAUCAAAACUAAAUAUAGUCAGUGCUUUUUACUGACUCUAAAGCUCAAUAUACACAUUUGUAGGUAUUAUAAUGAGAGAGCCAACUAUGUUUAAAAGAAAAAGAAUCUGAGGUGGUUUCUAACUAAAGAUACACACUACAAGGCUAUAAAAAUAAAUAUAAAAUUCAUGAAGUGAUAUAAAAAGAGGUGGGAGAAAACUCAAUACAAAGUCAAGAUAAUUAUUUAUUUUGGUUGAACAUUAUAAUCGGCCUUAGGUUUUUGACAGUCAACAUAGAAAGGGAAACGUGAUAUGAUGCGUUAUGUAAUUUACAGGUUACUUGUCCACAGAUUGAGUUCAUGCUCUAAGAUGACACUAAACCAUGAGGUCAUUGAUCUUGACUGAGGGCCUCUCUGAGAGAGUGCAAUUCUCUCUUCUAUUUUAAGAGGAAAAGAUACCCUUUCUGGAAAAUCUGGAGAAAAAAAUGUUUAAAAAGAAAAUAAUAGUUCCUUGUAAUUGCAUUGUCCUGAGAUAAACGAUGUGAGGAUUUGGAGUAUUUUCUUCCAGUCUCUUUACAGUUUUAAAAAUAUAUAAAAUGACAUAUAGUGAUAUUUUCCUAUUUUGUUCUACUAAUGUUAUAUCUUAAAAGUUUUUCCAUGCCACCAAAAACUCUUUACACACAUACCAUAUUUAACAGCUCUACAUUCCAUGGAAUGGAUAAGCCACAUUCAUUGAGCCAAUCUCAUGAUUUGGUGCACUUUGAUUCUUUGAUAAUAUUUAAAUAAACCAAAUGUCUGUUAUUAAUAUCUUUGUAUAUAAAUGAGUUCCCAUAUUUCUGAUGACCCCUUCAUGAUACAUUUCUAGAAGCUGAAUUCCUAGGUCAAAGCAUAUCCACCUAUUUCAAGGCUCUUGAUUUAUAAUGGACUAGUUAUUUUCCAGAAAAUCUGUGCCUCUCCUGAGUAGCACAUGACAUUCUACUUCACUGCCCCCUUUCUUGGACCAUCAUUUUAGAAUGUUUGUUAGUUUGAUAGGGCAAAUGAUGUCCUUCUGCUCUUUCAAUCUGCAUUUUGUUCAAUACCAAGGAGGGCUGGACAUUGUAUCAUAUGCUGAUUUGCCAUUUGCAUUUCCUCUUCAGAGAUUUGUUUGUCCUUUACCUGGGUAUCUAUUUUGGGUCUUAAUGUUUUUCUUAUUGAUUUGUAUGCAUUCUUUAUAUAUGAGGAAUAUUAAUAUUUUUUCUCCAACAUAUUGGUUUCAAACAUUUCCCAGCUUGAUGCUUGUCUGUUGAUUUUACUCAUGAGAUAACAUUAUAAAGAGAAAUUUUAAAAUGUUAUCAAGUCUAACCUAUUGAUUGAUUCCACCAUGAUUUCUUUCAAUACAUUUACUUUAAGCCGUUCUAGCAAAGAGCUUGAAUAAAAUAUUCCUGUCCUAGGGAACUAUGGUAGAAUGUCAUAGAGACAUUUGUUUUUCCUUCUGCUUACCUGUUUUAAAACAAGAAGUUGCAAAUCAAAAUGUAAUCAUCAGUCAGCUGCAAAGGUGAGGUUGAGGGGAAAGUGAAAGGUGACUACUGGGUGUUCUUGAUAGAAACCAAACAAGCAACCUGGCGGGCGGGGCGGGGAGUGGGGGGCAAUCAAUGCAGCUAGAACAUUCAGCAUGAGGCAUCUUCCCAGACAGGCUCCUUUAAAGAACUGGGCAGCUCAAAGUGCCCACCUGAAACAGUAAUCCUUGCUUGAAGAGAAGUUAGAAAAUUUUCUAACUUUUCUCCAAUUCCUCUGCUCUUUUCCACUGUCCUAGAGACCAGGGACCCCAGUGUCUGGUACCAUUUAUUUAUUUAUACAACAAAUAUUCAUUGCAUCUUGGUUUUGUUCAAGAUACUCCAUGAAGCAUCAUAAACCAUGUAAUGAUGCAAGUUUUCAUUUCUCCAUUUUCUUUCUGUUUUCAGAAAAUGGUCUGACUUAUGAAAAUGUAACUACCUAUAGGUCCAGUCCAAUUCUGGAAGACUUCUAGUCCUGGCCCUAUACUUCUGGGUUUGGUCUUUCUCAGUGACUAAGUAGGUAGCCCAAAGGCAAAAGGGCUGAAAAUUACUUCAGGAGCUAACAG